UUCACCAGCAUGCCAAGACCAACCUCAGGUCCUUUUCUCGGGCCAAGAAGCUCUCUUCUUCCUCUUCUGCCAUGGUUUCUAGCAGAGUGAGAGAUGAGAAGGCAAAGCAGUCAGAGGAGUCCUUGAGGACUGUCAUGUACCUGAGCUGCUGGGGGCCCAACUGAGGAAUAAGAUCUGGCCGGGUAUGAAGAUGAUGAUCAUCCUACCACUGAAUCAUCCAUGGAGGGCAUAUCCCAAGAAAGUGAUGAGAACAAUCUUAGUUCCCUACUUCGCUCUCUCAAGCUAAGAGCCUCUCUUCUUUUUCUUCUUCUUCUGAUAAGACGGGUGCAAACAAUGGCGGGGAAGAUGAGAAAAGGAAGAAGAAGACACAGAAAACAUUGGGAAAAGUCAUGUACUUGAGCUCCUGAGUCCCCCGUGAAGCAAUGGAUAGAGAUUUUGGGACGUGAUGCAAGAGUGAAAAAUUUGUAGAGAACCGCAGAUAGAUAUGAUGAUAUUGAUUUCAAUGUGUACUUCCAAAAAAAUGAUAUCAAAUUUCAGAUUUAUUAUCAUAAUAUUGUGUUGCCUUUCAUCAUUUUUGCCAUGGGAGUUGUUGGUUUUCGAGAGGGUUAGAAACUAAUUCUAUUUCGGAAAAAAGGAAUCACCAUCUUUGAGCAGUUCGAAAUUGCCCAGAUCUAAAAAAGACCUCGAUAAAAUAUAAAAAUGUUGCGCAGCUUGAGAUAUUUUUGUUCAUGAUUUGAUAGUCAUUUUUAAAAACGUUUUUAUUAUUUUUAAUAUUUAAAUGACAUAUAUUAAAAAAUUAAAAUUUUUUUUUCAAUUACUAAACAUUUCCUAAAAUUAUUACCUUUUAAUACUUCUUGAGCCCUCUCCUAUACUUCUUUUUCUCAAACAGUCUUUCUCAAUUCCGUCCUCGAUCUGAAAGAAUUUUAGCUUCUUUGAGUCUUACAAAAUAGAACAAUCAAAGCAAGAUCCGUCAUUUAGACACUAGGCUCAAAGGUUUCAUUAACAAACGAUACACCCCGACAAUCAUUUCUCCUCUUAUGAGUCAAAUUCAUAAUUUUACCUAUUAUUAGACAUUUCAAUUAAAAAUGAUGAAUAAGUGAUAUAAGUGAUAUAGUUAAAUUAAAUCUUUUAUGAUAUUUGAUAUCUUAUAUUAAAAAUUAGUUGACUUAUUACACUUUUAUUUGGGUUUUAAAAAGGGAAAAUUGUUUUGGACCCAACUGGUCCAAAAAUUAACAUUUGGUCCAUGUAACUUCCAUAAUUGAUAGAAAUGUUAUAAAAGGUUAAAAGACCAAUAUAUCUUUCAAAUUUCUAUAUAUAUUACUUUUUAAGGGUAUAAAAUAGUGAUGGACUAAAAUACCCUAUGACCUUUGACAUAAGUUUUUUUUUUCUUUAUUGCACCACUAUUCAUGCAACCAUAAUAAUUAUAUUUUAACAAUUUAGAUUUUUCAUUGUUUUUAAUUUUUUUUAUAAAUAAUUGAAAAUCAGCAUUAUUUUCUAUUUUAAAUUAUAAAUAAAGAAAAAUUAUGUUCAAAAACUAUUUUAAAAAACACUUUCUAAAAAAAUGGUAAUAUGAUUUAUAUUUUCUAUAUUUUCUUUUUGAAAAAACAUUUAAUUAAAAAAUGAAAAUUAUUUUUAAAAAUAAAAAUUGAAAACCUUGUUUAGUACUAUUUUUUUAUAUGAAAAUAAUAAAAAGAAUUAAAUUUCAUUCCUUGAUUAUCUAUUUUUAUUUUUUUUCCAUUAGUUAUUUUAAUAAUAAAAUAUAAAAAAUAUAAUAUGUUUACAAUUAAACAAAGAAAUUGAUCAAUUAUGUGUUUUUUGUGGGAAUAUCUUUUACAUGAAAAAUAAUUAAAUAACUAAAUUAUAUAUAUAUAUAUAUAUAUUACUCUUUUUAAUUUUAUUUUCUUUAUUUAUUUUUUGUCUAUUAGAAAAUUUUAAUAUAUCCAUAAUUAACAAAGUAAUAAAUCAAUUGUGCAUAUUUUAAUCUAUUAAAAUAAAUUAAUUUCUAAUUUAAAUAAAUAAAAUGAAAUAAGUAAAUAAAUUUAGGGUUAUUUCUAUUUUUUAACAUAUCUUAAAUUAAUAUUUUUUAUGGUUAAAUAAUUUUUUUUAAUUCCAAAAAUAAAAUUAAAUAAAUAAAUAAAUUUUAUAUUUUCUAACUGAUCUUAUAUUCAUAUUUCUUAUGGUUAAAUAUAUUUUUUAUUUUUUUCUUUAUUUUAAAAAAUAAAAGGAAAUAAAAAAAUAAACUUGGCUUAAAUAAUAGUUUUUAAUUAAUUUCUUUGUCUUAUUUUUAAUUACAUUUUGCAUUGAAAAUAAAAUAAAAUAACGUUUUAUUUGUUUUAAUUAUUUUAAAUGUCAAACUAUUAGGAACAUAGUUUACACACUCAUGUGGAUAUAAUUUAUACAUAUAUAUAUGAAGUUUAUACCAUUAUACAAAGUUAUUACACUAAUUAUAUAAGGGGUGUACAAAAUUGUACAUUUUGAACAACUUUCUUUUUUUUUUCUUGUCAUCUGAGAAUUAUACGUUCUCCUACCACAAAUUCAUAUAACAAUUCAAAUACUUACCUUAAUAAUGAUGUUUAGAGAAAUUUUUUUUUUUUUACGUUUUAUAUCAUUUUUUAAAUCAAACCAUUGGAAACAUGGUUCACACAUCAUAUGUGACAUAUAAUAUAUGCAUAUGGAUGAAAUUUGCAUCAUUGUACAAGGGUGUUAUACUAACUAUACAAGGUAAAUGUUCAAUUGGACAAGACAAAUAUUCUAACUAUAUAAAACAAAUGUUCUAACUCUACAAGGGGUAUACAAGGCUAUCAUUUGUGAAAGAUUUUAAUUAAUUUUGGACAAUUUUUUUUUUUUUUUUUGUCUUGUCAUCUAAGGAUUGCACACUUUUAAGGUACACAUUCCUCUAUUACACAUUCAUCUUAUACACUUUAUUUAACUCGCACAUGAUAAUUCGAAUACUUAUCCUAUUAAUGAUGUUUGAGAGAAAAUUUUGUUUUUCCAUCUUCCACUAUUUUUUGAAACAAACCAAUGAAAACAUGGUUAAACUACCUAUGAUUACACGUUAAGUAGAGGGUAUAAUGAAUUUGAGUCACUGUACAAAAUAUUUACACUAAGUGUACAUGACAAAUAUACUAAUUGUACAAGGGUGUACAAGACUAUUAUUUGUGAAGGAAUUUGAGUGAUUAUGAAAAACUUGUUUGUUUAUUUCCUCUAACCGAGGAUAAAUGACAUUCCUUACACACAUUGGUUAAACAUACAUUCAUUUCAUGCACUUUAUUUAACUUGUAUAUGGUCAUUUGAAUAGGUACCUCACUUAUGAUGAUUGUAAAACAAAAUUAUACAAUAAUUUUUAUUCUUUUUUAAAACCAAACCAAUGCAAACAUGGUUAACCGACCUAUUGUCAUAUAUUCAUGAGAUAAUGUAUAAAAUUUGAGUUAUUGUAUAAGGGUAUUACACUAACUGUACAAGACAAAUUUACUAAUCGUACAAGGGUAUACAAGACGCUUUUUGUUAAGAAUUUUAAGUGAUUUUGAAAAACUUUCUCAUUUGUUUCCACUCAAAGAUUUUUUUCCCCACUCAAAUUCUCUCACUCAAGAAUUGUUUCGAAUUUUAUUUUUAAAUUUUAUCAACAAAAUUUUGUAAUUGCAUAUUUUGUUUUUAUAGUUUUAGCAAUGUUCUUUCUUUCCACUUUUUUUUUUUGUGAAAUUUUAUCCAAAUGAAUCUAUAUUUAAAAUUAUAAUCAUAUUUAUCAAAUUUUUUACUAAGAUUAUCUUUAAUUCUUUUAAUAUAUUUAUAUUCAUUUAUUUAAAAAAUAAAAAACUAAUUUUUUUUUUGUAAACAUGUUCUAUUACCUUUCAAGAAUUAGAUAAGUUUGAAAGUCAAUAAAAAUAAUUAAAUACCACUUUCAAUAAUUUUUAGAUAAAAUUUUAUAUAAUAUAUUUUAUUUGAAAUUUAAUUUCUAAAGUUUAACUAAAAAAUUAUAUUUACAAUUUUUUUGUUGUGAGUCAAAAUACUUUACAUUAGUCUAUUUAGAUAAGAAAAAUUAUUAAUAUAAUAUUAGAAUUUUGUAUCUUAGUUAUUUUUUUCAAUAAAUUUAUCUUUUUAAAAAUUUUAAAAUAAAAACAUUAAAAAUUAAAAGCUAAAAGGAGAUAUAUAUAUAUAUAUAUAUAUAAUAAAGUGAAGUGAUAGUCAAUUUUUAAAUUUUUUAAAAUAUGGUUAAUAUAGAAAAUAUAAAAAAUAAUUAAAAAUAAGAAAAAAAUAUAAAUGAAAGGGUAAUAUAAAUUUAAAAUAAAAAUUAAAAAUUAAACUAAAAGAUAAAAAAAAUAUUUGGAUGAAAAAUCCCAAAAUUUUUAUCAUUGCUUAUAAUAAAAGCAAAAAGAUUCAAUAUCUUUAAAAAUGAAAAACAAACUUUUUAUUUGACAUAAAAUAGAAAUAUAGAUCGGAAGAAAAAGAAAAAAAAUUAGAAAUGAGUAAUACUUUAUAGGGAAUAGAAAAGGGAAAAAAAACACAAAAAAAAAUUAAAAUUCAUAUUUACUUGUGCCUAUGUAAGAGUUAAAGGUAUUUUAGGGAUUAAUAAAAAAUAAUAUCCUUCAUCUUAAUUUUCAUACUUUGUUUGGGUCUUGGAUUUAAAUAUGUAUGAUAUAUGAACUAAAUGUUAAUUUUUGGAUUCGGCUGAACCCAAAACACGAUUCUCCUUUUUAAUAAAAUCCUAUUAUGUAUUAUUCAUUCAUUGAAUAUGGUAGCUUAACAAUUAUUAGAGGUUUAAUAUAAUAUUGAAAUUUGUUCACGUUUUUUGUUAGGCGAGCUCACAGAAUUUAAGUCGAAUUGGCUUUUAGAUUGCCGCUUUGGAAACCAGCGGUUUCACUCCUUUUUUGGCGACUGCCACCAUGAUAAUACUUGGUUGACCAUGCAUGUGGGUGAAAACCCAAUCAUGCCCACAUCUAACUCCCUUUAGCAUUACAAAUCCAAGAACAAAGUAGUCAUUCCAAUUCAAAAGCAAACAAAGCCAUGAAUACUGCUGGCCACAGCCUCUGGUUUUUCGUAAACUUAGGGCACCAAAUCCAAACCCAUCUCUUUCCUAUAAAACCAACCCACCUUCACUUCAUCUUCUUCAUCACAACCCAAAACACUUUGAUUUACAGAGAGAUAUUCAAUAUCCCAUUCACUACUCAGUAUCAGUUCUUUUACUGUUGAUUGUUGUUUGAGUUUUGGAGGAAGAAAAUUAAGAAGAUGAGUCAUAUGGGGAAAGCUUGGAUAGUGGCAGCAAGCGUGGGAGCAGUGGAGGCACUCAAGGAUCAGGGCUUCUGCAGAUGGAAUUACACUAUGAGGUCUAUUCACCAGCAUGCCAGGAACAGCCUCAGGUCUUUUUCUCAGGUCAAGAAGCUCUCUUCCUCUUCCGCCAUGGUUUCUAGCAGAGUGAGAGACGAGAAAGCAAAGCAAUCAGAGGAGUCUCUGAGGACUGUCAUGUACCUGAGCUGCUGGGGACCCAACUGAGGAAGCAGAUCUGGAUAUGAAGAUGAUGAUCAUCCUACCACUGAAUCUUCCAUGGAGGGCAUAUCCCAAGAAAGUGAUAAGAACAAUCUUAGGCCCCUCUCUCAAGCUAGGAGCCUCUCUUCUUCUUCUUCCUAUAAGAUGGGUGUGAAGAGUAGUGGGGAAGAUGAGAAAAGGAAGAAGAAGACACAGAAAACAUUGGGGAAAGUCAUGCACUAGAGCUCCUGGGUCCCCAGUGGAGCAAUGGAUACAGAUUUUGCGGUGCAAUAUAAGAGUAAAAAUUUUGUAGACAACUGCAGAAAGAUGUGAUGAUCUUCAUGCGUACUUCAAAAAAAUGAAAUCAGAUAUCAGAUUUAUUAUCAUAAUAUUGUGUUGCCUUUUAUCAUUUUUUGCCAUGGGAUCACUAUCUUUGUUGGUUUUGAUUGAAUUUGAGCUUUAGCAGAUGGAGCAAUCAAGAGUUUGAAGCAAAAAGCACUUAAGAUCCACCUUCAGUGCAAUAUAUUUUGUUUUGAAUUGAUUGUGCAGGCAUUGUUCACCCCACAAUCCCUUCCUCCUCUCAGUCAAACUCAUAACUAUGGCUUGGCUCUAAUUUCAAUUCUCAAACAUCUUAACUGAAAAUCAUACUGAUGACUAAUAACAAUAAGUUCAACCUUUUAUGGCCUUUUUUUUUUUUCGGAGUGAUUGUUUGCGUGAUUCAUUUCAGACUUAAAAGAAUGAUGUUAUUGUGCCUAUACACAAAUUUUAUACUCAUGGUUUUAAUAGAAUCCCGUUCACUAUGUGAAAUUAAUAGUUUAAUAUAAUAUUAGAGUUUUAAUAUAUAGUAUUAUUUUAUAUUUUGAAAUUAGUAUUUUAAUAUAAUAUUAAAAUUUGUUCAGAUUUUCUGUUCGUUUUCUUGUUUAUUAAUCUUAUGGUUGGGUUUGAAAAAUGGAAAAUUUGAGAAAAAAAAAUGUGAGAAAAAAUUGAAAAAUAUACUUAAAAUUAAUAAAUUAUUUUUAGAUGCUUCAUUAAAUUUAUUAUAUUUUUAUAAAUUAUAAUUACAUUGAAUAAUUUAAAAAUAUAAAUUUUUUAAAUUAAUUUUAAUGACUUUUUUUUCCUUCUUUAAAAUUUUCAUGAUAAACUAGAAAUUGUAAAAUCAUUUGUGUUUUUUUCACCCUAUGUUGGACUUUUCCGGCCAAAUAUAGCUUAACUUUAGGGUUGUAAUUUGGACAAGUUGAUCGGCCUGAUCAUUGAUGGUCAAUCCAGACUCAAUCCAACCUUAUUUUUAAAAAAUAAAGUUAGUUAGUGGAGUUAAACUCAAAUUGAUUAGAUUAAACUUUAUAUUAAAACUUGGAUUGAUUAGGUUAAAUUUUAUGUUAAAAUUUGGAUUGAUUGGUUUAAAUUUCACCUUAAAAUUUGGAUUGAUUGGGUUAAACUUGAGUUGAUCCAAUUGAUUGAUUGUGUUGUAUAAUUCAAAAUUCAUUAAUAAUAGUUUUUUUUUUAAUUUUAUACAUUUAUACCAAAAUUUAGUUAGUAAUAAGACAAAAUUUCAAACAAUAAUAAUAAUAAUAAUAAUAAUAAUAAUAAUAAUAAACUCAUUUUUUUUUUCAAAAAAUGAAAAAAAUAUACUAAAUGAUCACAAUUUAAUAUUUUUCUUUAAAAUUUUAAAAAUAAAUAAAUAUUAUUAUAUUAGAUAAUAAAUAUUAUAAAAACAUUAAAUUUGGUUUGACUCGGAUUAUAGCCUAAAUCUAAUUCAAAUUGAAUUUUGGUUGUGAAAAAACUUAACCCAACCAAAUAUUGGAUUAAGUUGGGUCAACCCGUCAAAGUUAUACCCGUGACUUGUUUGGGCAUCUCACAGAAUUUAGUCAAACAGCUGAAAAUUAAUGGACUCCAGUGGGCAGAGUAAGUAAAGCAAAUUGUUUUGGAUUGCCGCAUUGUCACUUCUGAAACCAGCGGUUUCAGUCCUUUCACCCUUUUAGCAGGAAAACAGGGGGCACACCUCCUGGCAACUGCGACCAUAAUAACACUUAGUCGGGAAUAAAAAUGUAGCUGAAAAACCAAUCAUGCCCAAAUGUAACCUACUUUAGCAUUACAAAUCUAAGGACAAAGUAGUCAUUCCAAUUCAAACCAAACAAACCCAUGAAUACUGCUGGCCACAGCCUCUGGUUUUUGCCAAACGUUGGGCACCAAAUCCAAACCCAUCUAUUGCUAUAUAACCAACCCAUCUUCACUUCAUCUUCUUCAUCACAACACAAACACUUUGAUUUACAGAGAGAUCUUCUAUAUCCUAUUCACUACUCAGAAUCAGUUCUUUUUAUUGUUGAUUGUUGUUUGAGUUUUGGAGAGAGAAUUAAGAUGAGUCAUAUGGGGAAAGCUUGGAUAGUGGCAGCAAGUGUGGGAGCAGUGGAGGCACUCAAGGACCAGGGCUUCUGCAGAUGGAAUUACACUCUGAGGUCUAUUCACCAGCAUGCCAAGAACAACCUCAGGUCCUUUUCUCAGGCCAAGAAGCUCUCUUCUUCCUCUUCCGCCAUGGUUUCUAGCAGAGUGAGAGACGAGAAGGCCAAGCAAUCAGAGGAGUCUCUGAGGACCGUCAUGUACUUGAGCUGCUGGGGACCCAACUGAGGAAGAAGAUAUGAAGAUGGAUGAUCACCAGCAUACUAGUGAAGCAUCGAUGGAGGGCAUAUUCCAAGAAAGUGAUACGAACAACUUAGUUCCCUCUUUCAAGCUAAGAGCCUCUCUUCUUCUUCUCCUCCUUAUUCUUAUAAGAUGGAGGUGAAUAGUGGCGGAGAAGGUGAGAAAAGGAAGAAGACACAGAAAGUAAUGGGGAAAGUCGUGGGCUUGAGCUCCUGCGGUCCCAGUGAAGCAAUGGAUAGAGAUUUUGAGGUGUAACAUAAGAGUAAACAUUUUGUAGAGAUCUGCAGAUAGAUAAGAUGAUUUUAAUGUGUACUUAAAAAAAUGAAAUAAGAUUUCAGAUUUAUCAUCAUAAUAUUUGUGCCAUGGGACUAUCUUGGUUAGUUUUUUAGAGGGUUAAAAACUAAUUCUACUUUGGAAGAAAGGAAUCACCUUCAAAUUAAGCCAUCUUUCGAGCAGUUUGGAAAAACCCUUAUCUAAUAAAGACCUCUAUAAAGUACAAAAAGGUUGUGCUUUUACCAUAAAAAAGGUUGUUUCAAGCCCGAGAACAUCAGAAAUCAUCAUGCCAAGGUUGAUAGAGUUGCUAACAUACAGAUAAGAAAUUUUACCCAAAAAAAUAAAAUAAAAAAAUUAAAGCUUUGUCUUGAAAAGUCUCUCAAAUUCAGAUUCAUUUUUGGAAGAAGAAUAAGAGAUAUCUAAGUGAAGUGAGGGGUUCGUGGACAGGAAAUUUAAGAUAUUUUAAUAAUCCAAUAGUUUUAUUUGAUUUUUAUCAUAGUAUAAUAAAAUAAUUCUCUUUUAUUUGUGGAUGUAAGUUAAUCAAAACAUGUUAAGAUCUCGUGUAUUUUUGUGUGAAUUAUUUUAUUUUUACAUUCUAAAAUUAAUAUUUUUGUAUUAAAGCUUACAUUGAUACCAAAGCUAUGUUGAAGAUUUGUAAAAGAACAAAAAAAAAAAAAAAAAUAGUACACAAAAAAAAUGAUAAAAUGAAUUUUAAUUGAAAGUGAAGUUGAUUGUUUCCAAAACAUGAUACAAAAAAUAUGUUAUGAAAAGAUGAAAAAUUAACUUAAUGGAAUUUGAUGUCGAGAUUGUUCAAGAGUGCCUUAAAUUCUUAUUAAUAUUGAUUGAUUUUUAUAAGGAAUAUUGUAUAUAAUAUAUUUUAAGUUAAUAUAUUAUUAUAAUAUUAGAUUUCUUUAUUCAGUAAAGAAAGUUAUUAAAAAUAUUUUUAUAAAUAUUUUAAAUCUUAUAAGAUGAAGAUUAACUUGUAAAAAUUAUAUGAGAUGGAUAAAGAUGUAUAAAAAAAAUGAAAGAUAUCUUGAAUGAUGUAGUGAAAUGAUUCUCUCAUUCGCAUAUAUAGGCAUGAUUCAUCGAAUCAUAUUAAAACCUCAUGUAUUUUCCGGUGGAUUGUUUUAUUUUUAUGUUUUUAAACCAAUAUGUUUGUGUUAAGAUUUUCCCUUACCCAACACCUUCAACCCUCUCUUUUAUUUAUUUUUUUCAUUAUAUUUAUAAAGAGGUUUAUCCAAAGAUCUCAAUCCCUUGUCCUCAUCUUACCGUCUUUGAUCUAUCCGAGGAAUUUUAGUUUCUUUGGUAAUGAUUAAUUUUGAAUCUUACAAAACAAAACAAUCAAAAGUUUGAAACAAAGCAAGAUGCAUCAUUUAGACAAUUGGUUCAAAGGCUUCAUGAUAGACGUUACAUCCCAACAGUCAUUUAUGCUCUUAUAAGUCAAAUUCAUAAUCCAAUGUAUUAUUAGUUCAUUAUGUGAAAUUAAUAACUCAGCUAACAUUAGAGGUUUCAUAAAACACUAGAAUUUGUUCACAUUUUUGUUAGGUGAGCUCACAGAAUUCAAGUCCAAUUGGCAACUACUCCAAAAGUGAAUGUUAUUGAACUCCAAUAAGCAACUUGUUUUAGACUGCCGCAUUGUGGCUUUGGAAACCAGCGGUUUCACUCCUUUCACUCCUUUAGCAGGAAAACAGGGGACACAUCUUUGGCAGCUGCCACCAUGAUAAUUCUUAGUAGGGACCACACAAGUGGGUGAAAACCCAAUCAUACCCACAUCUAACUCCCCUUAGCAUUACAAAUCCAAGGACAAAGUAGUCAUUCCAAUUCAAACCAAACAAACCCAUGAAUACUGCUGGCCACAGCCUCUGGUUUUUUCCUAAAGUUUGGGCACCAAAUCCAAACCCAUCUCUUUUCUAUAAAACCAACCCACCUUCACUUCUUCUUCUUCAUCACAACACAAACACUUUGAUCUACAGAGAGAUCUUCAAAAUCCCAUUCACUACUCAAAUCGGUUCUUUUUAUUGUUGAUUGUUGUUUGAGUUUGGAGAAAGAAAAUUAAGAAGAUGAGUCAUAUGAGGAAAGCUUGGAUAGUGGCAGCAAGUGUGGGAGCAGUGGAGGCACUCAAGGACCAGGGCUUCUGCAGAUGGAAUUACACUAUGAGGUCUAUUCACCAGCAUGCCAAGAACAACCUCAGGUCCUUUUCUCAGGCCAAGAAGCUCUCUUCUUCCUCUUCUGCCAUGGUUUCUAGCAGAGUGAGAGAUGAGAAGGCAAAGCAGUCAGAGGAGUCUCUGAGGACUGUCAUGUACUUGAGCUGCUGGGGACCCAACUGAGGAAGAAGAUAUGAAGAUGGAUGAUCACCAGCCUACAGCGAAGCAUCCAUGGAGGGCAUAUUCCAAGAAAGUGAUAACUCAUAAGUGGAGUGGAGAUCAGUUUCAUGGAAUUUUUCCUAGAAGACAAACAAGGUGGAAAUCCAGAAAUUAAUUAGAACCAACUGCUAAUAGUUGGCGUCUCUGAGUUAGGAAUUUGUUAGCAAAAGGCAGCUUUGGUAUAUAUACUAAUAUACGAGAUGAUUUCAAUGUAUAUUUGAAAUAGAAAUUAGAUUUAUUAUCAAAACGAUUGCGUUGUCUCGUCUUUUAUAUUUUCCAGAUCCAAACAGAUCCUAAAGGCCCUAAAAUUUUUGUUGUAUCAUUUUUAUGCUAAAAAAUUACACAUAGAAAAAUUAACUAAAUCAUAAGUAGCUUCUAACCAUGAAUUGUUUUUUUUUUUUUAAGCCUAUAAAUUUUAUGCUUUAGAUACAUGCAUUAAAAAUCUAUCUAAACCAUAUAUAAUUAUUUUAAUGCAGUUAUAUAACUGAUAAAAAUAGAAAUAAAUUUAAUAAAUAUAAAAUAAUAAAAUAUUAGGAUAAGUAUUGAAGAUCAAUUUUCAGUCUUCAAACUUAAUCGAACUUGAAAGUGGAUGGCGAUGGAUACAAUGAUUUGAGCCAGGUCUUAAAUCUUUAACUUAAUGGAGCAAUUAUUGUAAUCUACUUAAUAAUUGGUCAGUAUAAAAUUAAAUAAUAAUAAAAGGAGAAAGAAAAGGACACGUGUUUGACGUGGACGUUGCCAAAACAGCGGUUUCAGACAGGCCUUUUACUGCCCGAGCGCCAGUGGAUUAACAAAGAAAACAAUGAGCACAUCAGUGGAAGCGGCACCAGCUACCAAGUAUGCAGCUGAAAUGCCCCUUGGAAUUACAAAUCGAAGGACAAAAGAGUCAUUCCAGACCAACCCAGAAAUACAGCUGACCCCUGCCUCUGGUUUUUCCCCAAACCUUGUGCCUUUCUCUAUCUAUAUAAUCCAGCCCACCUUCUCUCCAUCUUCUUCAUCGCAACACAAACGCUUUGAUUUACUGAGAGAUCUUCCAUAUCAAUUCACUACUGAGAUUGUUGUUUGGGCUUUGAGUUCUUGGGAAAGAAAGUUAAGAAGAUGAGUCAUAUGAGGAAAGCUUGGGUGGUGGCAGCAAGCGUGGGAGCAGUGGAGGCACUCAAGGAUCAGGGCUUCUGCAGAUGGAACUACACUCUGAGGUCUAUUCACCAGCAUGCCAAGAACAACCUCAGGUCCUUUUCUCAGGCCAGGAAGCUCUCUUCUUCCUCUUCUGCAAUGGUUUCUAGCAGAAUGAGAGACGAGAAGGCAAAGCAGUCAGAGGAGUCUCUGAGGACUGUCAUGUACCUGAGCUGCUGGGGACCCAACUGAGACGUUCCACAUUUCGAGUGAUCAAGAAGAAGAUGAUGAUGACGAAAGAUUCAUGGAGGGAGCAUGUGAAGGAAGUCAUGAGAAGGGGAGAUGAAAACCAUUAAUGGAGAAGAGAGAUCCAUCUGUGGAUGAAGGCAGUGGAAAUUUGGAGCCGAGUGAGUCAUGGGUAAUGGUUCUUAUGAGUUGGGAAAUUAUCAGCAAAGUGCUUUCUCAACCUCAGAUGCUUUGGGAGGAAUGGGAAUUUACCAGAAAAUUGCAAGUACAUAUGUAUGAUGCUUUUUAUGCAUAAUUUGUCCGAAAGCAAUAAUAAUCAGAUUAAUUUUCAGCUAUACUUCUUCUGAGAUAUGGAAUUUGUUGGUUCUGAUUUAAUUUCAAUGAAAUUGAUUAUUUUGUAAUUCUAAAGAAAAUUGGAUUAUUCUGUAAAUUCUAUUAUUUUAUUGUUGUAUAAAGGUAAAUUCUUCUAUCAUUUGUUUUGAUAUAUUCAAAAUUAGACACAGAAAUUAAAAAAAAAAAAAAAAAAUCCACUAUUCCAAGCCAACCCGCAGCCCAAGCUGACGGGUGCAUCCAACCAGGUAGCCAUGUUCAGGGAAAACAGCGGUUUCACCCACAUUUUUACUCCUUGCGCAAUGGAAAAAAAAAAAGAAAAGCGAUUAAAGCCCAAAAUGCCCAUGUAUCUCUUCAUUUGCCAUUAGAAGUAUAUGCACAAAACAGUCAUUCCAUCCACCCCUCACCAACCCAAAAAUCCUGGUAACCACAGCCUCUGGUUUUCCCCCACACCUAUGUCUUUUAAACAAUGGGCACACUACUGCCGACUGCCCCUACGCUUACUGCUUACAUUAGUUGAGGAUGAGUGAUGGGGCCAAGGCCAACUAUGUAGGUGAAUUCCCAAUUAUACCCACCUGAAUCCGCCCUCAAUCUGACCAAUCCGAGGACAAACGUAAUAAUCAUUCCAAUUCAGAUCAAGCAAACCCAUGAAAACUGCUGGCCACAGCCUCUGGUUUUUUCCCAAACUUUGGGCACCCGAUCCAAACCUAUCUCUUUCUAUAAAACCAACCCACCUUCACCUCAUCUUCUUCAUCACAACACAAAACACUGGAUUUACAGAGAGAUCUUCAAUAUCCAUUCACUACCCAGAAUCAGGUCUUUUUAUUGUUGAUUGUUGAUUGAGUUUUGGAGAAAGAAAAUUAAGGAGAUGAGUCAUAUGGGGAAAGCCUGGAUAGUGGCAACAAGCAUGGGAGCAGUUGAGGCAUUGAAGGAUCAGGGCUUCUGCAGAUGGAAUUACACUAUGAGGUCACUUCACCAGCAUGCCAAGAACAACCUCAGGUCCUUUUCUCAAGCCAAGAAGCUCUCUUCUUCCUCUUCUGCCAUGGCUUCUAGCAGAGUGAGAGAAGACAAGGCAAAGAAAUCAGAGGAGUCCUUGAGGGCUGUCAUGUACUUGAGCUGUUGGGGACCCAACUGAGACCCACCAAAAAUUAGUAGAGAGUUGUAAACAUGUAUGAUGAUUUUUUUAUGUAUUUUUUUGAAAAAAAAUCAGAUUAGGUAUCAGAAAUUCAGAAUGAUUGUUUUUUGCACUUUGUUUUUACAUGCCAUGGGAUUUGGAGUUGGUUAGUUUUGACUGAGCAUGAAAGGCAGGCCAGGGUUUUAAAGAAUUGAAUCAUUCACUGGAGAUGGAAUCUCUCUCAGAGAAAUCCUUAUUCUCUACAACCUUGGCAAAUGGCAAGCCACUAAGAGGGAAAACACAAAAAAUAAAAAUAAAAUAAAAUAAUAAUAAUUGUAGAGGAGAUAUUUGCCAAUAUAUAAAACUUAUAUUUUUGUAUUAUUAUUGAAUAAAUUAGAUUUUAUCAUACACUUAAAUAAUGGAGAUACAAAUUCAAUAUAAUACUUUUUUUUUGGUUAAUUUUAAAAGGUUUCUAAGGAAAUUAAGUCUUAAUCAAACAACUUUUAUUGAUCUUUUACAAUAUGAAUUUAUCUCUUUAAAAUAAUUUUAAUUUAGCAUUUAAAAUUUUCCGUUGAACUUUUUCACCAAAUGAGAAGUAAAAACGUAACAGAGGAAUGCAGGACUUUAAAGUGAAGUUGUCUUUUUUUGAACAAGCUAACUUUAAGUCUCGUUUUUUAAGAGAACUUUUCAUAGAAUUUGAAUUAUUUAUUUAACGAUAAAUUUUCAUGAUUUUUUUUUUAAAUUUACACCAUUUUGAAAGGGAAACUUGUAUUUUGAUGGAGCAAUUUGGAAAAUAUAUGAUUUUUGGAAUCCAACUUCACGAAAUCUGAAAACUAACUUUUAAUGUGAAAAAUUAUAUAUUUUUCAUGCACUCUAAGUCGGUUGCAUAUUUUUGUGCUAAGAUUAUUUUUAGGUUUAGUGAUUUUCCAAAAUUAUCCUUUUUGUUUUUUUUUUUUUUCUCUUGUACCCAUCAUCUGCCUCUCCCUCCCUCCCCAGUGAAAUUGGUUGGUAUUUUGCCGACGUCAUCACCAACCGCCACCCACACUUCUCUCCCGUUGGCAAUCUCCUCCUUUCUCCAUUUCCUUCCCUCUUUCUCUCUCUCUUUCAUUCCCUUUCGACAUCACCAAGAGAGAAGAAGGCGGUGGCAAUGGUGGAGAACCGGGGUUGGAGGGAAGAAGGUGCGACUGGUUGCCAUUGACGGUGGCAACCAGUAACUCUCGCAGUCAUUGACAACGGUGGUGGUGGAAGCACCUAAGUGGGGAGAGACGUCAAGGAGAGGUGGGAGGGAGGCGGACGAGGGGACCACGUCUUUCCCUACGCUGGUGCUUUCGCCGUCGCCACUGUCAAUAAUCGUGAGAGUUGUUGGUUGCUGUUUGUCGCGCCUUCUUCCCUCUAGCCCUGGUUCUCCACCAUUGCCACUGCCCUCUUCUCUCUUGAUGAUGUCGAAAGGAAAUGAAAGAGAUAAAGAAAGAGGGAAGGGAAUCGGAGAGGGGGAAAUUAAUGAUCGGAGAAAUGUGUGAGUGACGGCCGAUUUCACAAGGGAGGGAGGAAGAGGCGGAUGGUGGUGGGUAUAGGAGGAAAAUAAACAAAAAGGAUCACUUUGGAAAAUCACUAAAUCCAAAGGUAAUCUCGACACAAAAUAUGUAGCCGGUUCAGAGUGCAUGAAAAAUAUAUAAUUUUCCAUAUUGAAAAUUGAAUUUUAGAUUUCAUAAAGUUGGAUUCUAAAAACCAUAUAUUUCUUAAAUUUCCUCAUCAAAACAUAAGUCUGCAUUUUGAAAAGGAAAAACCCAAUGAAAUAUGUUCGUACUUCGUAUAGACCGUGGAGUGGGGUGUGAAAAAAACAAAGAAAUAGACACGUGCUUGAAAUCCGGCCGUGCACAUUACCCCAUUGGAAAACAGCGGUUUCAUCCUCCUUACUCUUUGAGCGUUGAGUGGAUUCACAAACAAAACAAUGGGCACGUACUGCGGACUGCCCCACACCAACACUGAGGGCCAACUAUGUAGGUGAAUACCCAAUUAUACCUACAUGAAUCAGCCGUCAAUCUUACAAAUCCAAGGGCAAAGUAGUCAUUCCAAUUCAAACCAAACCAAGCCAUGAUUCAUGAAAACUGCUGGCCACAGCUCCCGGUUUUUCCCUAACUUUGGGCACCAAAUCCAACCCAUCUCUUGCUAUAUAACCAACCCACCUUCACUUCAUCUUCUUCAUCACAACACAACUACCUUGAUUUACAGAGAGAUCUUCUAUAUCCAUUCACUACUCAGAAUCACCUCUUUCUAUUGUUGAUUGUUGUUUGGGUUUCGGAGAAAGAAAAUUAAGAUGAGUCAUAUGGGGAAAGCUUGGUUAGUGGCAGCAAGUGUGGGAGCAGUGGAGGCACUCAAGGAUCAGGGCUUCUGCAGAUGGAACUACACUCUGAGGUCUAUUCACCAGCAUGCCAAGACCAACCUCAGGUCCUUUGCUCAGGCCAAGAAGCUCUCUUCUUCCUCUUCUGCCAUGGUUUCCAGCAGAGUGAGGGAGGAGAAGGCCAAGCAGUCAGAGGAGUCUCUGAGGACUGUCAUGUACUUGAGCUGCUGGGGACCCAACUGAAGAAGAAGAUAUGAAGAUGGAUGAUCAUCAGCCUGCACUUGAAGCAUCCAGAGAGGGCAUAUUCCAAGAAAGUUAUGGAAAAUUAAGAUGAAGAAACUGCAGUGAAGCAAUUUCAUGGAAUUUUUGCUUGGAGACUCCCGAAUUACAACCAAUUGCUCAGGGUUGGGAAAAUUGGAAUUGCUGUAAAUUGUGACUGGUUCUUUGUAAAACCCAAAUCAUUUAGCUAGAAAUUGAAAAUACAUUUUAAUUUAAUUUAUAGUUUCUCUGUUAGAAUAUUAGACCCAAUUCCUAAAAAGCUUGUCAGUCUUGUAUUAGACCCAAGCUCAAGCGCAUUAAGAAAAAAUAUGGCAGAUUUGGUCACAUAGGGGAUGAAGAGGUGAUAAAGUAGAUACAACGCCCAAAAUUAAACUCUCAAUCAAUUUAAUUGAACAAAUAAUCAUAAAAGAGAUUUUUUAAAUUUAUGAUUUUUGAAAAAGAAAAUUCCAGUGAAAUAUGUUCAUGUAGACUGUGUGGUAGGAUGAAGACUAAACAAAGAAAUGGACACGUGGUUGAAGUCCGGCCCUACACAUUGCCCCAUUGGAAAACAGUGGUUUCAUCCUCCGUACUCUUUGGGCGUUAAGUGGGUUCACAAACCAAACAAUGGGCUGCCUUAACGUGGUGUUUAUUUUUUUACUUAAUUCUAAAUAGAAUCUUAAUAUUUAAUCGUAUUAAAUAUUAGAUUAUUUAUUUUUUAGUAUUUUAUUUUUAUUAAGUAUUAAAAAGUAAAAAAAAUCAUUGUGUUAUUUUUUCUAUUUAGAAAAAAUUAUAUAUUUUGAUUUUUUCUAUUUAGUAAAAAGUUUAUAAUAAGUCAUUAAAAAGUAAAAAAACAAACCAUCUAAAUUCUAAAACUAAAUGAUUUUUAGCAAAAAGCCAAAAAAACAAACACCACUUUAGACUGAGGACAAACUAUGUAGGUGAAUAUCCCAUUAUACCUACAUGAAUCAGUGGUCAAUCUUACAAAUCUAAGGACAGAGUAGUAAUUCCAAUUCAAACCAAACAAAGCUAUGAGAACUGCUGGCCACAGCCUCUGGUUUCCCCAAAACUUUGGGCAGUAUUCCUCAAAGAAUCAAGUGGGCUAGAUUUAACAACUUCGUCCACCAUGGUUAGAUUAUUGGGGGCUAGAGUAAAUAACUUCAUCCACCAUGGUUAGAUUAUUGGUAUCUCGAUGGGAGAAGUUGUUUUGAUGGAAAAACAUUGUAUUUUAUUAUUUUGUAAAUUUUAUCAUCACUCAUAUAUAUUAUUUUUUAUUUAAAAUUAAAUAAAAAAUUAAAAUUCUUAGAAAAUACGAAAAGAAAGUAUAUCACAAUCUUUAUUUUCUAUUCUAAAAUUAAAAAAUAAAAAUAAAAUUAUGAAGAAAAAAGUACAUUCCAACUUACAUUAAUUAAGGGAUGAUAUACUCUGCAAAUAAAAAAUAUAAAAAAUAAUUAAAGGUUAAAUAAAUCACUUAAUAAAUCGGUAGUAGGGGUUGAUGGUUUCAUUAUUAGACUAUAACAAGGAUUUUCAUUUUCAUUUUCUUUUUAAAUGCAUUUCAUGGUGGUGUAGAAUUUUUUUGUAUAAGGGUUUUUAAAUUGUAAUAUAGAUUAUAUAUAUAGUUGUGUUUUGUCCUAAAUUCUGACUUCCAAGUUUUCAACAUUAUAUAAAAAUCCCUAAAAUCACCUACUUCGUACGUUUUCUAACAUUAUAUAAAAAGCCCUGAAUUCACCUAUUAGAAAAAUGUUAUUUGGUGCGCUAUCAUUACCAUGACCUCAACCUCGUGCAAAGAUAUCGAGUGGUUACUAAUAGUAAAAAAUAAAUAAUAAAAACAAAAUAUAUUCAUUAUUAUUAUUAUUAUUAUUUUGUACUUUUACCAUCCAUUAUUCACAUCUUAGCAUAUGAUAGAAAAGAUGAUAAAAGAUUAUUUAUGUUGUAUGAUUUUAAGUGAAAUGAUCAAAAUAUUUAAAGAAAAAAUUAAUAAUUCAUGAAGAAUUUUUGGUAAAUUUAUAAAUUUGUAAUAAAUAUUGAUAAAUGAUAAACAAAGUAGUUUUUAAAGUGGUUGCAGUAGUUAAACAUUGUAUCUUAUUAUGAUUUUCCACCUUCAAAACUUAAUAAUAAAAUUUCAUAACAAAUUUUUAUCUAUUUGAAACUUUUGAAAUGUGGAAUCUUUUCUUGGACAUUUUUAUAUAUACAUUUGUGAAUUUUAUCUUUAUUUUUUAUUUAUAAAAUUAAAGGAUAAAAUUAAAAUGUUAAAAAUAAAAGAGAAGUAUAUCCCAACUUGCAUCAAUUAAGAGAAGAUAUAUAAAGCACAUGAAGAAUGCAAAAAAAAUUAAUGAUAAAAUAAAUCACUUAUUAGAUAGUAUUUAAUGAUUUACAUUAUUAGAUUGUAGAAAUGAGUUAUAUUUUUAUUUUUGUGUAUAGGGGAUUUUAAAUUAUAAUAUAUAUUUUUAUUUUUGAGUUAGUUUUCUUUGUUGAUACAUAGUUUUUUUUUUGUCUUGGAUAUUGUGUUAUCAGCAGUUUUAAAAGAAAUAAAAAUUAUUUAUCCCACAUCGAUUCAAAACUAAAAAUAUUAUAUAUAUUUAUUAAAACUUUGAUACCCUUAAAAAAUACAAGUACAACCAAUAAGCAAGCAUAGGGAUGACAACGGGGCGGGUAUGGGACAUGCCACCCCUACCCCAUUUCCAUCCCGGUUAUAUAUUUUUUUGCCCAUCCCUGUCCCAAACUCGGGGCGGGGCGAGUUGGUGUCCCCCUUACCUGUUUACAAAAGAGCUGAUAAUCUCAUCCCCAUCCCAAAUGUAUUUUCGGGAAUUAUGCUUUUACAAAACAUGGGUCUCUGAAAUUUCAAUAAACGUUAUAUGGGUUAUCAUAAACACAUUUAAUCAAGCAUUUGUUGUGCAACAAAACUACAAACUGCACAUAUGAGAACAAAAUGCACAGAUCUACAAAUAAACAACCCAAAAAAUCUCAAAUCCAUAAACCAAAACCAGAAAAAUAUGAAAAACAAGACAUUCUAACAAAGCCUCAAAACUUAGGGUUUUCUUACCUGGAAAUGAGGAAUCCAUAGAAACCCUAAUAAUUUGUUGUCUACGAAUUUGGUUUUUGGUUUUUAGAGCAAAAAUUGUGCUUUUAGGGUGAAAUGGGAAGAAGCAAUUUAGGAAUAAAUGAGAAAACGGGAAGAAAUGAGAAAACGAAAGGCCUUUUACGAGCAAAAGAACCCUGAGCAAUUUAGGAAGAAAUGAGAAAACGGGAAGAAAUGAGAGCGAAAGCCCUCUAACUCUCUCAUGAGCAAAAUAACCCUAAAACUUGAGGAAGAAAUGAUUAUAUGUGUAGGACUUUUUGGGUAUUUUGUAAUGACAUAAGGGUAAAUUGGUAAUUCACAUACGGGGCGGGGCAGAAACUGCAAAACCCAUCCCUGCCUUAAACCCAAUUCGGGUUUUUAUAUAUUCCCCAAACCCUUUUUAUACCCGAAUAGGAUAUUCUCAUACCCGUCCCAAUAGGGACGGGGCGGGUGACCCGAAUUACCCGGAAAAUUGUCAUUCCUAAGCAAGCAUUGAGCUAAAUCCUAAUCUCACAUUCCUACUUGAAACUUUACACUCACAUAAAAACAACUCACCACUUGACUCGAGGGACUAUUCCGUAACUUCUCACUACCAACAACCAGGCACUAUUCAACCUCUCGCUCACUUAUAAAUUCACUCCCUACCUGCAUAUUCAAAACGUAUCUCACUACUAUUCUACUCUACUAUUCUACUUUUCGUGGUUUCAUAUCUCACUAUUAUUCCACUUUUCGCGGUUUCAUAUCUCACUACUAUUCGCGUGUUCAAAGUGUAUCCCUCCCUGAAUUAAUUGUGAAUUAAUUUAGGCUUCAAAGUGUGUUGCUCUACAAUAUCCCUCCCAGUCAGGCCUCAAAGUAAGAACAACAACAUCUACAAUAUCUGCCAUGGCCACACAACCAAGGCAUGCGGUAUGCCGCAUUUUCUCAUGUCCUUUUCCCAUUUUGUUCCCUCUUUUCAUCUCCAUUUUGUUUUCAAUAUCCCCUUACCUUACUCAUAUUCUCUAAAAUUAGAUAAAAUUAUUAAUUUGAUCAUAUUUAUCUAACAUUUUUAAUUAAUACUACUAGUAUCUUAUUUUCAUAAAUCUAAUUGAAUUUCCUACUUAUUUAUUUAUUGUUUUCAUGACAAAACUUCAUCAACUUUCAUAUCUUUCCUUACAAUUCUGAGUUCAACUGUCCUUGCGAAAUACCAAUAUGAGAAUGUUUCCCCAUUUGCCCAACACAACAUAGGUAUGCAAAUCUCCUUAUUUGCAUCAUUUAUAUAUUUCAUGAUGGUUGUGGUUUAUGAAAUCCUUGAUUCUAAUGGAACUAUCAAAAUUGAAGAAGAUGGAAGAUAUCUCCUUAUUUUGAGUCAUGUUCGGUUCUUAAGUGGAACAGCAGCUGCAACUUUGUUGAUCCUGAUCUUGAUCCCAUAUUUUGGAUGGUUCUUUCUGAUCAUGUGGACCAUGUUCUUAGUGAAAAUAACAUGCUAUUGGGAUAAAACAUUUUAUAACUUUGACAUGUUCAAGAAUAAAAAAAAAUGCCAAUGAUAGGGAAGGAGGACAAGAGGAGCAACGACUCCAAGUUUAGAGUAGGUUUGGUCCAUCAGAGGUUAUUAGCAAAAAACAUAUUUUCUUCUUGUACUUUCGAAAGUGUUAAAUAAGUGUUAUAUUUUGAGUAAUGAGAGUAUUUUUUUCCUUUUUUCUUUUUUUCUAAUACAUUAUUGGUGAUUAUUCUUCGUCGGAAUACCCACAAGGCUAUUAGAUGUUUCAUUGCAAAAUAUGGUUUUAUAUGAUAGCAUUACGAUUGAACUAAUAAAACAUAUUUUUUGCAUAUUGUUUAGUUGGACCCCCCGACUACCUCUCGGUAAUAUCCUCUUAACAUAGGAAGUAUAAACUAAUAGCAAGUGCUAAUCUUUCCCAUUCUUACACAAGAAAGACCCAAGGAGAAGGUAUAUUUAGAAAUUGCAUAUCUAUGUUCCCAAACAAUAGAAAAUUCAAUAUAUGGCACUUCACUCUCUACUUUUCUUUCCCACAUUUUCUCAUAACCCAAAUAUGCUCACCUCUCAUUCUAAGAUCCAACCAUUGAAAAACAAUUACAAAAAUCCUAAUAAAAGAGAUAGAUCAUACUACAAUUACACUUUCUUACAAGAAAUUGAAGUGUAGAAGGUAUAACAAUUGAGUGAAACAAAUAAAAACCAACCUCCUUUAACACACAUGCUAAUGAAAUACUUGCAGAGACACUUUAAAUUUCUCCAGACUCCAAGAGAUAUUGAACAACAGCCUCGACACCUGCAGCGACGAGACCAUCACCUGAUACGAUAUAAUGCACAAACUCGGCACGGAAUCAAUAAGACUUGGUUGGAUUACAAAUUUUUUUUCAAACAUUCUCUUUUUCUUUCCAAUCACAAUAAAACAUCAGAAUAUUUUCAAAAAUAAAAAUCAGAAAUUCACCUUUCAAAAGCAAACACCCAUGAUUCUGAAAUUGGAGCUUUUAACCUAAAAGAUCAAAGAAGAUGAAGAAGAAAAAACCCAACCCCUGACUCGUUCGGAAAUAAGAGGAGAAACCACCGAAGGAUGAGGGCAUGAUUUAGGAUUUACUUACUUGAUUUUCCUAAAAAUCGAGAAUCAUCGGAGGGUGGAGGUUUGGUGUCAACGGUGGUAACUCGUCAAGUGGAUUGAAUCUUACAACAGCGACGUCGGCCAGGCAACCCUCUCACAGUCAGAUUGCUCUCCCUUCGGGGUCUUGCAUAGUUGCAAAUUUGCAAUUGUAGGUGGUGUCAUCUGUCGACGGUCUUGACAACAAUGGUGUUGUGCGAGUAUGGAAGAUUGGGAGCCUAAAUUGGUAAAGUAAAAAAUGCAUUUUAUAUGGAUUUACAUUGAUGAUAUGAGAUAGGAUUUGAUGGUAACAUAUUAAAUUAAAUUAAAUGAUUGAGUCCAAAAUGAUAUGGAUGGUAUGAGAUAGGAUUUAAUGAAAAAUUAAAUGUAUUUAUAUGGCAGAUUGAGAAUUAAAUCCACAAUUCUUAGUAGUAUUAUAAAUGGCUUUGAGUUAAAUGUGAAAAAGUUUUAUUAAUUUUUUAAGCUUAUUAAAUUUAUAUCUAUUUUUUAUAUAUAAUUUACAUAAUAUUUUUAUAAUUUUUUGAAAUUUCUAAUUAUCUUAUUUUGCGUGUUGCUUGAUAUUGAAUCAAGAUGUUGAGACCAACAUAUCUCGGGAACAUCUGAGUUAAUGAUCGAUAUCGCGACUUUGAACCAUGCUCGUCUCCAAUCCCUUAACAAUGAUGAAAAAUGAGGGCAACACAAUUACCCUUUUUAUUAUUAUCUGUUCAAAAUAAUACAUGCAUUAUAAUAUAAUUUUUUAAAAAUAUUUUACAAAAAAAUAUAUGUGGACCCCGUAUUUAGGCUCAUGCGUUUCCACUCGAUGGCGAGCUUGAUUUUAUUUUGAAAAUAAUUUUAUUUAUUAGAAAAUGACUUGGAGUCGCCACUUAUUUUUGUUUUAUUUUUAAAGGGUAAACAAAAUAAGAAAGAAAACCCUAAGUGUGACUCCUUAUUUUGGAAAAGGUGGUCUGUAAAAAAUUGGAUCGAGUUUGGGGGUCAGGUUACUUAUCGGGAAGGUACGGUAAAGACCGUAGCACCCCUUUAAGUCCCCAAAGUCGGGUCUCUACUAAUAAAAUGAAGUUGACGCAACAAUCAAUAAUAAAAACAAUGAAUACCGACAUGAUCACAUAUUGAAAGCCAAAACAUAUAAGGAUGAUGGUUAGAGUGAGAAAAAAUGCGUACCUGAUCAGCAAGCGGCAACGCGCUAUCAUAAAAUGAGGUUAGUGCACAAAUAAUGGACAUAAAACAUAGCUCACAAGCCACUGAAUCGAGUACAAAAUCAUCAGAUAUCACAAUUAAGUCAAAUUUAUUUUUCGGGGAAACAAUCACUGAUGUUGGGCCUUCACCAAAACCCAAUUUAUUCCUGUAUGAAUUAAUUUCGUAAAUUCCAUCACUUGGAAUUACAGAAUUUAAUUCACACUUAUUUUUAAAAUGUUUUAGAAAUCAUGGAAGUUAUGGAAAUCCAUGCCGAAGAAAAUGGCAACAAAAUUUUAUUAAAAAUGUGAUUUUUGGGACUUGAAAGCUCUAAGGAUGAAGAAUCUGGAAAAUAAUGCGAAAAAAAUGAGAUUUGGAAAAAAAUAUUUUUUUAAACCAAGAAUGGUGAAAAUGAGAAAAAAAAAAAAAAAGGAAGUGACACGUGGCAUAAGGGUGGCCAUGCAAAGGUGGCCAUGCACCAUUCCAAACAAAUCUAACCCCACUUGCUUUUAUUUGAUCCUGAUCUUAAUCCCAUAUUUUGGAUGGUUCCUUCUGGUCAUGUGGACCAUGUUCUUAGUUAAAAUAACAUGCUAUUGGGAUAAAACAUUUUAUAACUUUGACAUGUUCAAGAAUAAAAAAAAUGUCAAUGAUAAGGAAGGAGGACAAGAGGUGCAGCGACCCCAAGUUUAGAAUAGGUUUGGUCCAUAAGAAGUUAUUAACAAAAAAACAUAUUUUCUUCUUGUACUUUUGAAAGUGUUAUAUUUUGAGUAAUGAGAGUAUUUUUUUUUUCCUUUUUUCUUUUUCUUUAAUACAUUAUUGGUGAUUAUUCUUCGCUGGAAUACCCACAUGGCUAUUAGAUGUUUCAUUGCAAAUAUGGUUUUAUAUGAUAGAAUUAUGAUUGAACUUAUAAAACAUAUUUUCUGCAUAUUGUUUAGCUGGGCCUCCCAACUACCUCUCGGUAAUAUCCUCUUAACAUAGGAAGUAUAAACUAAUAGCAAGUGCUAAUAUUUCCCAUUCUUACACAAGAAAGACCCAAGGAAAAGGUAUAUUUAGAAAUUUCAUUUCUAUGUUCCCAAACAAUAGAAAAUUCAAUAUAUGGCACUUCACUCUCUACUUUUCUUUCCCACAUUUUCUCAUAACCCAAAUAUGCUCACCUCUCAUUCCAAGAUCCAACCAAAAUUGAAAAACAAUUACAAAAAUCCUAAUAAAAGAGACAGAUUAUACUACAAUUACACUUUCUUACAAGAAAUUGAAGUGCAUAAGGUAUAACAAUUGAGUGGAACAAAUAAAAACCAGCCUCCUUUAACACAUUUGCUAAUGAAAUACUUGCAGAGACACUUUAAAUUCCUCCAGACUCCAAAAGAUACUGAUCAACAGCCUCGGCACCUGCAGCGACGAGACCAACACCUGAUACGAUAUAAUGCACAAACUCGGCAUGAAAUCAGUAAGACUCAGUUAGAUUACAGAAAAAUUUUCAAACAUUCUUUUUUUCUUUCCAAUCAUAAUAAAACAUCAGAGUAUUUUCAAAAAUAAAAAUCAAAGAUUCCCCUUUCAAAAGCAAACACCUAUGAUUCUGAAAUUGGAGCUUUUAACCCAGAAGAUAAAAAAAGACGAAAAAGAAAAAACCCAACCCCUGACCCGUUCGGAAAUAAGAGGAGAAACCACCGAAUGAUGAGGGCAUGAUUUAGGAUUUACUUACCUGAUUUUCCUAAAAAUCGAGAAUCAUCGGAGGGUGGAGGUUUGGUGUCGGUGGUGGUAACUCGUCAAGUGGACUGAAUCUUACAACGGCGACGUCGGCCAGGCAACCCCUCAUAGUCAGAUUGCUCCCCAUCCGAGGUCUUUCAUAGUUGCAAAUUUGCAAUUGCAGGUGGUGUCAUCUAUCGAUAGUCUUGACAGCAACGGUGGUGUGCAAGGUGUGCGAGAUUGGGAGCCCAAAUUGGUAAAGUAAAAAAUGCAUUUUAUAUGGAUUUACAUUGAUGAUAUGAGAUAGGAUUUGAUGGUAACUUAUUAAAUUAAAUUAAAUGACUGAGUCCAAAAUGAUAUGGAUGGUAUGAGAUGGGAUUUAAUGAAAAAUUAAAUGUAUUUAUGUGGCAGAUUGAGAAUUAAAUCCCCAAUUCUUAGUAUUAUUAUAAAUAGCUUUGAGUUAAAUGUGAAAUUUUUUUGUUUUAUUAAGUUUUUAAGCUUAUUUAAUUUCUAUCUAUUUUUUAUAUAUAAUUUACAUAACAUUUUUAUAAUUUUAUGAAAUUUCUAAUUAUCUUAUUUUGCGUAUUGCUUGAUACUGAAUCAAGAUGUCGAGACUAACAUAUCUCGAGAUCAUCUGAGUCAAUGAUCGAUAUCGCGACUUUGAACCAUACUUGUCUCCAAUCCCUCAACAGUGAUGAAAAAUGAGGCCAACACAGUUGCCUUUUUUAUUAUUAUCAGUUAAAAAUAAUGAAUCUAUAUCCAUGUAUUAUCAAGAAUAAAUAAGUUUAUAUUUAUAAAUUUUUAUUAUAAAUUUAUAUUUACACAUAUCCUUGAUUUUCCUCAAGGUCUUAUUUUUAAUUGAUUACAAAGCAUUAGUACUUAUUUAAUUUAAAAUGUAUUAAAUAAAUAUUAAUAUUACAUAAAUAAAUAAAAGUUGAAUUUGAAUAAAAAUUAUAUAUAUAUAUAUAUAUAUCAUAUUCUACAUGAAUAUGAAUCUAUUAUUAAAGAUACAUGGUAAUAAGUGUUAAUAUUAUAUAAUCAAAUGAGAGUACAAAAAUUUUCUAUUAUUAACAAUACAUUAUUAUAAUAAUGAAAUACUUAAUAUCAUGUAAAUAAAUAAAAGUCAUCAUAAAUUUAAAUUUGAAUUUAUAUUUUUAAACCCAUCAAAUUUAUUUUUAUUUAUUUUUAAUUUUAAGAAUUUUUUCUCCACUUCAAAUAGCAAUAAUAGUGUUUAUUCAUACUAAUUAUACUUAAAAUUGAUGAAAUUUAUGAAAAAAGAAGAAGUAAAAACCCAUACCCUUCAAAUUUACAUUUGUUUUAAUUUUAAGAUUUUUUUUCUCUACUUCAAGUAAUAAUAAUAAUAAUGUUUAUUCAUACUAAUAGCAAUAAAAUUAACGAAAAUGAUGAAAAAUAAAAAAUAAAAAAUAAAUAGUAAAAACUUCAAAAUUUUAAUAAUAAUAAUAAUAUUUAUUCAUACUAAUAAACAAUUCUUCAUAAUCAUAACCUACUAAUUUCCAACAAUUAUAAUUGAAAUUGUUUUGAAUAAACAAUGUAAUUUGUAUUUGAAGUUGAAGAAAAUUGUGAAAAUUAAAUGGGAAGGGUAGGGUUUUAAUUUUUUAUUUUAUUUAAAAUUUUUCCCUCAUUAAUUAAUUAAUUAAUUAAUUAAUUUAUUUAUUUAUUUAUGAAUUUUGAGUGAAAUUAUUAUGAAUCAACAAUUUUAUUGAUAUUUAAAGUUUAAAAAAAAAAAAUCUAUGAAUUUUAAAUAAAUUUUGGAAGGUAUUUGUAAUGGGGUAUUUUUAUUUGCACUUUCCUAUUAUGUUGAAAUAUUGUUUGGUUUCAACAUUGUUUAUUCAAAAUAAUUUCAAUUAUAAUUAUUGGAAAUUAGGAGGUUAUGAUUAUGAAGAAUUGUUUAUUAGUAUGAAUAAACAUUAUUAUUAUUAUUAUUAUUAUUAUUUGAAGCAGAGAAAAAAAUUCAUAAUGCAUAGGGAGACCACAGAUUCUAUGGAUUCAACAAUUGAUAAACCUACUUGUUUAUGUUAUUGUCCCUAACCAUCUAUUCCAUUUUUGAAUUUACUUUUGGUGCAUUUAGUUUGUAACUUAUCUUAUGUUUUACUUAUUUUCAAUUUUUUUUUUUUAAGGUUAAGAUAGUAGUUUUUUUUUUUUUUAAAAAAAAAAAAAAAAACUCUUUUGAGCAAUACUUGAUUCUCUUGCUAUUCUUAUUUUUAACCAUUUUUUCAAUAAGAAAUUAUUUCUUUUUGGCGGAAUUGUAGGAAGUGGAUUGAAUCGGAAAAUUUAUUUGGGCCAGAUUGUGUUUCACUAGAGUCUUGAGAGAUGCAGCUUAGUGAGCUUAUAAUAAAAAGGUAGGCAUUUAAACGGACCAUACUGGUCCGAGUCAAUCUUAGUUUGGCCUAGUGGGCCUUCGGAAUUGCUCCAACAUGAAUUUCAAUGUCAACUUCAAUUUUUAAAAUUAAUAAUUAUACAUUUGUUUUAACUAUUUAUAACAAAUAUUAUCUUUGAAAAGUAAAUUUCAAUUAAUUUUUAUAUUUAAAUAAAAAUUAUUAUUAUUUUAAUUAUUUGUAUCCAAAUCAUACCCGAUAUAUUUGAUUUAUCUUACAAUGUUUCAACAUAAUAGGAAAUUGCAAAUAAAAAUACCCCAUUACAAAUACCUUCCAAAAUUUAUUUAAAAUUCAUAUAUAUUUAUAUAUAUAUAUAUAUAUAUAUAUAUAUAUAUAUAUGAAUUUUAAAUAUCAAUAAAAUUGUUGAUUCAUAAUAAUUUCACUUAGAAUUCAUAAAAAAAUACGAGGAAAAAAAUUAAAAUAAAAAUUUUUAAGAUCCCUACCCUUCCCAUUUAAUUUUAACAAUUUUUUUCUGAGCAUUGAUUUGUUGAUCGAUUAUCAAGGGCCACUCAUUUGCUUUGUUGGAUCUAACUCUCUGUAUGCAUGCUCUGUUUUGGCUUUGUUUGUUUUUUUUUUUUUUUUUUAUCUUUGCUUUCUCUUGUAAAUAUCUGAUGCAUUGUUCCUUCUCUGAACUUGAGAUAUAAAAAUCAUGCUCUUGUUCCUUGUGGAUUCCACCUUCUCCUAGCUCUUUGACAAUCCAUGAAAUAGAGCUAAGUUCAUACUCUAUUUUUAUGUUUUUAUUCUUCUUUGUUUGUUGUUGAUGGUGGGAUGAUAUUAUCAAUGGCUAAGUUGCUGGGAUUUGAGGAGUGAGGUUAUGGGGAAGUGAACUUAAUGGAGGAUUUCUAUGAUCAUAUCUAUGCUCCAAUCUAUUGGUUCAAAAUGUUGGCCAUGAGACUGCAUUGAAGUUUUGGUAUUUGGGAUCACUUUGCCAUCCGGGUUCAGUAAGCAACACAGUGGCAAUAAAGAUGCAUUGGUGUUAUUAAUUUGGGUGAAUAAGUUGGUUGUAUGAAUCGUGAAAGUUCAGGUUGUGCUUUGAGGAGAGUAUAUCUUGCAUCCUAUUAUUUUAAUUAUUAAUUUUGGAUGUUGAAAUAUGAUGUGAUCGCACUUCAUACAUCAUGGUUGUGUGAGGAAAAAGAAAGAUUGAAGAAAUGGUUGUGUGAAAUGGAAAUAAGAAUGAAAAGACCCUGGAGAGGGCAAAAAUGAAAAGAAAAAAAAAAUGAAAUGAUCCCAGAGAGGGCAAAUUAAGAAGGAAGUGAGAUCUUUAAGGUGAAAGUCCCAAAAGUUUACUUCGGGAAGACUCCGAAUGGGGAGUAUAUUUAGGUACAGAUGUGUAUCCUUUGGUGAAAGCUUGAGAACCAUAGUGCAUUGUGUGAUUGCGUGUAAGCAUUUGCAUCAUAAUUGCGUUUGGAAGAAGGAUUUGUAUUAUUUAUCAAGUGUAUGUUUGAAUAUAUUAUUCAAAACUAAAAUGACUUGUUUAUUUUGUAAAUUUAGAAUUGUUGAUAUACUAAACAUAUGAUUGAAUAAGGAAAAUGAUAAUUUUGAUUGUUUUAAAUUUAUAUGGUUAAGGUUUCUUUUAAUGUAUAUAUUGUAAAUGUAAUAUUGUAUUUUGACAUAUGGUUGUGUUAUUGACCUAGAAUUUCUAACCUAUUUGGGUGUAAAACACCCUACUGAGCAACGUGGAAAUGCCCAUCUCUUUAUUUUCUAAAAUUUUAGAUGCAAAUAUAGUUUCAGAGGGACCACAAGAAGUUCAAGAAGCGUUCUAGAAAGUAAAAGAACUAUAAUAAUAGUUGUUUUUAAAUUUAUAUUUCUCUUUUUAUAUGUACCAAUUUGAGUUAUAUGGACUUUUGUAUGUUAAAUUAUAUUUUGUUAAAUUGUAAAAUAUUUUUGGAAAUAUUUUUUUUAACUUAGAGAUUAUUGUAAAUAUUUCAGCUUUUGGGCAGAAAGAUGACUGGUGGAUUUAUUAUACUUGUGAAUAAGAGAUAGUGUGAUGGUUGGUUUUAGAAAAAUAAAAUAUUAUAGUAAAUCUUAACUUAAUAAGAGCAGGAUGAUCAUCAGCCUGCUCUUGAAGCAUCCAGGGAGGGCAUAUUCCAAGAAAGUUACGAAAAAUUGAGAUGAAGAAACUGCAGUGAAGCAAUUUCAUGGAAUUUUUGCUUGGAGACUCACGAAUUACAACCAAUUGCUCAGGGUUGGGAAAAUUGGAAUUGGUGUAAAUUGUGACUGGGUCUUUGUAAAACCCACAUCAUUUAGCUAGAAAAGCUUUGAAAAUACAUUUUAAUUUAAUUUAUAAUUUCUAUGUUAGAAUAUUAGAUCCAAUUCCUAAAAAGCUUAUCAGCCUUGUAUAUAUGGCUAAGCAGGUCAACUUCCCAAGCUCAAGCGCAUUAAGAAAUUCUCAGACCUACCUUUUUUUUAUAGGAUUUUUGGGAAGUUUUACAGCAAUUGAAAACAAAUCCUAAAAGGGUCGGGAAAUUAUUUGAAAAAAUAUGGCAGAUUUGGUCACAUAGGGGACAAAGAUGUGAUAAAGUUGGUACAACGCCCAAAAUUAAACUCUCAAUUAAUUUAAUUAAACAAAUAAUCAUAAAAGAGAUCUGUGUAGACUGUGUGGCAGGUUUUUAAUUUAUGAUUUUUGUUUUUUUAUUUAUACUUUUUGAAAAAGAAAAUUCCAGUGAAAUAUGUUCGUGUAGACUGUGUGGCAGGAUGCAGACUAAACAAAGAAAUUGACACGUGCUUGAAUCCGGCCCUACACAUAGCCCCAUUGGAAAACAGCGGUUUCAUCCUCCGUACUCUUUGGGCGUUAAGUGGGUUCACAAACCAAACAAUGGGCUGCCCCAACACAGCAACACUUAGAUUGAGGACAAACUAUGUAGGUGAAUACCCAAUUAUACCCACAUGAAUCAGCGGUCAAUCUUUCAAAUCUAAGGACAGAGUAGUCAUUCCAAUUCAAACCAAACAAAGCUAUGAGAACUGCUGGCCACAGCCUCUGGUUUCCCCAAAACUUUGGGCAGUAUUCCUCAAAGAAUCAAGUGGGCUAGAUUUAAUAACUUCGUCCACCAUGGUUAGAUUAUUGGGGGCUAGAGUCAAUAACUUCAUCCACCAUGGUUAGAUUAUUGGUAUCUCGAUGGGAGAAGUUGUUUUGAUGGAAAAACAUUGUAUUUUAUUAUUUUGUAAAUUUUAUCAUCACUCAUAUAUAUUAUUUUUUAUUUAAAAUUAAAUAAAAAAUUAAAAUUCUUAGAAAAUACGAAAAGAAAGUAUAUCACAAUCUUUAUUUUCUAUUCUAAAAUUAAAAAAUAAAAAUAAAAUUAUGAAGAAAAAAGUACAUUCCAACUUACAUUAAUUAAGGGAUGAUAUACUGUGCAAAUAAAAAAUAUAAAAAAUAAUUAAAGGUUAAAUAAAUCACUUAAUAAAUCGGUAGUAUGAGUUGAUGGUUUCAUUAUUAGACUAUAACAAAGAUUUUCAUUUUCUUUUUCUUUUUAAAUGCAUUUUAUGGUGGUGUAUAACUUUUUUGUAUAAGGGUUUUUAAAUUGUAAUAUAGAUUAUAUAUAUAGUUGUGUUUUGUCCUAAAUUCUGUCUUCCAAGUUUUCAACAUUAUAUAAAAAUCCCUAAAAUCACCUACUUUAUACGUUUUCUAACAUUAUAUAAAAAUCCCUGAAUUCACCUAUUAGAAAAAUGUUAUUUGGUGCGCUAUCAUUACCAUGGCCUCAACCUCGUGCAAAUAUAUCGAGUGGUUACUAAUAGUAAAAAAUAAAUAAUAAAAACAAAAUAUAUUCAUUAUUAUUAUUAUUAUUUUGUACUUUUACCAUCCAUUAUUCACAUCUUAGCAUAUGAUAGAAAAUACGAUAAAAGAUUAUUUAUGUUGUAUGAUUUUAAGUGAAAUGAUCAAAAUAUUUAAAGAAAAAAUUAAUAAUUCAUGAAGAAUUUUUGGUAAAUUUAUAAAUUUGUAAUAAAUAUUGAUAAAUGAUAAACAAAAUAGUUUUUAAAGUGGUUGCCGUAGUUAAACAUUGUAUCUUAUUAUGAUUUUCCACCUUCAAAACUUAAUAAUAAAAUUUCAUAACAAAUUUUUAUCUAUUUGAAACUUUUGAAAUGUGAAAUCUUUUCUUGGACAUUUUUAUAUAUACAUUUGUGAAUUUUAUCUUUAUUUUUUAUUUAUAAAAUUAAAGGAUAAAAUUAAAAUGUUAAAAAUAAAAGAGAAGUAUAUCCCAACUUGCAUCAAUUAAGAGAAGAUAUAUUAAGCACAUGAAGAAUGCAAAAAAAAUUAAUGAUAAAAUAAAUCACUUAUUAGAUAGUAUUUAAUGAUUUACAUUAUUAGAUUGUAGCAAUGAGUUAUAUUUUUAUUUUUGUGUAUAGGGGAUUUUAAAUUAUAAUAUAUAUUUUUUAUUAUUUUUGAGUUAGUUUUCUUUGUUGAUACAUAGUUUUUUUUUUUGUCUUAGAUAUUGUGUUAUCAGCAGUUUUAAAAGAAAUAAAAAUUAUUUAUCCCACAUCGAUUCAAAACUAAAAAUAUUAUAUAUAUUUAUUAAAACUUUGAUACCCUUAAAAAAUACAAGUACAACCAAUAAGCAAGCAUAGGGAUGGCAACGGGGCGGGUAUGGGACAUGCCACCCCUACCCCAUUUCCAUCCCAGUUAUAUAUUUUUUUGCCCAUCUCUGUCCCAAACUUGGGGCGAGGCGAGUUGGUGUCCCCCUUACCUGUUUACAAAAGAGCUGAUAAUCUCAUCCCCGUUCCAAAUGUAUUUUCGGGAAUUAUGCUUUUACAGAACAUUGGUCUCUGAAAUUUCAAUAAACGUUAUAUGGGUUAUCAUAAACACAUUUAAUCAAGCAUUUGUUGUGCAACAAAACUAAAAAUUGCACAUAUGAGAACAAAAUGUACAUAUCUACAAAUAAACAACCCAAAAAAUCUCAAAUCCAUAAAGCAAAACCAGAAAAAUAUGAAAAACAAGACAUUCUAACAAAGCCUCAAAACUUAGGGUUUUCUUACCUGGAAAUGAGGAAUCUAUAGAAACCCUAAUAAUUUGUUGUCUACGAAUUUGGUUUUUAGUUUUUAGAGCAAAAAUUGUGCUUUUAGGGUGAAAUGGGAAGAAGCAAUUUAGGAAGAAAUGAGAAAACGGGAAGAAAUGAGAAAACGAAAGGCCUCUUAUGAGCAAAAGAACCCUGAGCAAUUUAGGAAGAAAUGAGAAAACGGGAAGAAAUGAGAGCGAAAGCCCUCUAACUCUUUCACGAGCGAAAUAACCCUAAAACUUGAGGAAGAAAUGAUUAUAUAUGGAGGACUUUUUGGGUAUUUUGUAAUGACGUAAGGGUAAAUUGGUAAUUCACAUACGGGGUGGGGCAGAAACUGCAAAACCCAUCCCUGCCUUAAACCCGAUUCGGGUUUUUAUAUAUUCCCCAAACCCGUUUUAUACCCGAAUAGGAUAUUCUCAUACUCGUCCCAAUAGGGACGGGGCGGGUGACCCAAAUUACCCGGAAAAUUGUCAUUCCUAAGCAAGCAUUGAGUUAAAUCCUAAUCUCACAUUCCUGCUCGAAACUUUACACUCACAUAAAAACAACUCACCACUUGACUCGAGGGACUAUUCCGUAACUUCUCACUACCAACAACUAGGCACUAUUCAACCUCUCGCUCACUUAUAAAUUCACUCUCUACCUGCAUAUUCAAAAUGUAUCUCACUACUAUUCUACUCUACUAUUCUACUUUUCGUGGUUUCAUAUCUCACUAUUAUUCUACUUUUCGCGGUUUCAUAUCUCACUACUAUUCGCGUGUUCAAAGUGUGCAUAUUCAAACUGUAUCCCUCCCUGAAUUAAUUGUGAAUUAAUUUAGGCUUCAAAGUGUGAUGCUCUACAAUAUCCCUCCCAGUCAGGCCUCAAAGUAAGAACAACAACAUCUACAAUAUCUGCCAUGGCCACACAACCAAGGCAUGCGGUAUGCCGCAUUUUCUCAUGUCCUUUUCCCAUUUUGUUCCCUCUUUUCAUCUCCAUUUUGUUUUCAAUAUUCCCUUACCUUACUCAUAUUCUCUAAAAUUAGAUAAAAUUAUUAAUUUGAUCAUAUUUAUCUAACAUUUUUAAUUAGUACUACUAGUAUCUUAUUUUCAUAAAUCUAAUUGAAUUUCCUACUUAUUUAUUUAUUGUUUUCAUGACAAAACUUCAUCAGCUUUCAUAUCUUUCCUUACAAUUCUGAGUUCAACUGUCCUUGCGAAAUACCAAUAUGAGAAUGUUUUCCCAUUUGCCCAACACAACAUAGGUAUGCAAAUCUCCUUAUUUGCAUCAUUUAUAUAUUUCAUGAUGGUUGUGGUUUAUGAAAUCCUUGAUUCAGAUGGAACUAUCAAAAUUCAAGAAGAUGGAAGAUAUCUCCUUAUUUUGGGUCAUGUUCGGUUCUUAAGUGGAACAGCAGCUGCAACUUUGUUGAUCCUGAUCUUGAUCCCAUAUUUUGGAUGGUUCUUUCUGAUCAUGUGGACCAUGUUCUUAGUGAAAAUAGCAUGCUAUUGGGAUAAAACAUUUUAUAACUUUGACAUGUUCGAGAAUUAAAAAAAAUGCCAAUGAUAAGGAAUGAGGACAAGAGGAGCAACGACCCCAAGUUUAGAGUAGGUUUGGUCUAUAAGAGGUUAUUAGCAAAAAACAUAUUUUCUUCUUGUACUUUCGAAAGUGUUAUAUAAGUGUUAUAUUUUGAGUAAUGAGAGUAUUUUUUUUUUCCUUUUUUCUUUUUCUCUAAUACAUUAUUGUUGAUUAUUCUUCGCUGGAAUACCCACAAAGCUAUUAGAUGUUUCAUUGCAAAUAUGGUUUUAUAUGAUAGCAUUAUGAUUGAACUAAUAAAAUAAAUUUUCUGCAUAUUGUUUAGCUGGACCUCCCAACUACCUCUCGGUAAUAUCCUCUUAACAUAGGAAAUAUAAACUAAUAGCAAGUGCUAAUCUUUCCCAUUCUUACACAAGAAAGAACCAAGGAAAAGGUAUAUUUAGAAGUUGCAUUUCUAUGUUCCCAAACAAUAGAAAAUUCAAUAUAUGGUGCUUUACUCUCUACUUUUCUUUCCCACCUUUUCUCAUAACCCAAAUAUGCUCACGUCUCUUUCCAAGAUCCAACCAAAAUUGAAACACAAUUACAAAAAUCCUUGUAAAAAAGACAGAUCAUACUACAAUUACACUUUCAUACAAGAAAUUGAAGUGCAGAAAGUAUAAAAAUUGAGUGAAACAAAUAAAAACCAACCUCCUUUCACACACCUGCUAAUGAAAUACUUGUAGAGACACUUUAAAUUUCUCCAGACUCCAAGAGAUAUUGAUCAACAGCCUCGACACUUGCAGCGACGAGACCAGCAUCUGAUACGAUAUAAUGCACAAACUCGGCACGGAAUCGAUAAGACUCGGUUAGAUUACAAAUUUUUUUUCAAACAUUCUUUUUUUCUUUCCAAUCACAAUAAAACAUCAUAAUAUUUUCAAAAAUAAAAAUAAGAGAUUCCCCUUUCAAAAGCAGACACCCAUGAUUCUGAAAUUGGAGCUUUUAACCCAGAAGAUCAAAGAAGAUGAAGAAGAAAAAACCCAACCCCUGACCCGUUCGAAAAUAAGAGGAGAAACCACCGAAGAAUGAGGGCAUGAUUUAGGAUUUACUUACUUGAUUUUCCUAAAAAUCAAGAAUCAUCGGAGGGUGGAGGUUUGGUGUCGGCGGUGGUAACUCGUCAAGUGGACUGAAUCUUACAACGGCGACGUCGGCCAGACAACCCCUUCACAGUUAGAUUGCUUCCCCUCCGGGGUCUUGCAUAGUUGCAAAUUUGCAAUUGUAGGUGGUGUCAUCUGUCGGCGGUCUUGACAACAAUGGUGGUGUGCGAGUGUGGGAGAUUGGGAGCCCAAAUUGGUAAAGUAAAAAAAUGCAUUUUAUAUGGAUUUACAUUGAUGAUAUGAGAUAGGAUUUGAUGGUAACAUAUUAAAUUAAAUUAAAUGAUUGAGUCCAAAAUGAUCUGGAUGGUAUGAGAUGGGAUUUAGUGAAAAAUUAAAUGUAUUUAUAUGGCAGAUUGAGAAUUAAAUCCACAAUUCUUAGUAUUAUUAUAAAUAGCUUUGAGUUAAAUGUGAAAAAAAUUUAUUAAUUUUUUAAGCUUAUUAAGUUUAUAUCUAUUUUUUUUAUAUAUAAUUUACAUAAUAUUUUUAUAAUUUUUUUGAAAUUUCUAAUUAUCUUAUUUUGCGUAUUGCUUGAUAUCGAAUCAAGAUGUCGAGACCAACAUAUCUCGAGAUCAUCCGAGUCAAUGAUCGAUAUCGCGACUUUGAACUAUGCUCAUCUCCAAUCCCUCAAUAGUGAUGAAAAAUAAGGGCAACGCAAUUACCUUUUUUAUUAUUAUCAGUUCAAAAUAAUACAUGUAUUAUAAUAUAAUUUUUUUAAAAUAUUUUACAAAAAAAUAUAUGUGGACCCCGUAUUUAGGCUCAUGCGCUUCCAUUCGAUGGCAAACUCGAUUUUAUUUUGAAAAUGAUUUUAUUUAUUAAAAAAUGACUUGGAGUCGCCACUUAUUUUUGUUUUAUUUUUAAAGGGUAAAGAAAAUAAGAAAGAAAACCCUAUGUGUGACUACUUAUUUUGAAAAAGGUGGUCUGUGAAAAACCGAAUCAGGUUCGGGGGUCAGGUUACUUAUUGGGAAGGUACAGUAAAAACCGUAGCACCCCUUUAAGUUCCCAAAGUCGGGUCUCUACUAAUAAAAUGAAGCUAACACGACAAUGAAUAAGAAAAAUAAUGAAUAUUGACAUGAUCACAUAUUGAAAGCCAAAACAUAUAAGGAUGAUGGUCAGAGUGAGAAAAAAUGCAUACCUGAUCAGCAAGCGGUAACGCGCUAUCAUAAAAUGAGGUUAGUGCACAAAUAAUGGACAUAAAACAUAGCUCACAUGCCACUGAAUCGAGUACAAAAUCAUCAGAUAUCACAAUUAAGUUAAAUUUAUUUUUCGAGGAAACAAUCACUGAUGUUGGGCCCCCACUGUAGACCCUCAAAUUUGUCCCUUUAGCACAUGUCUUUGAGUUCGUUUUCAGUACUUCAAAAUAGUUCCUUGGUGGCCCAUGGCUACUCAUACCACUUACCUUUUUCUGAGUCACCUCGGAGAUUUUGGUCGAGGGAUUAUCUGACCCAUUAUUGUGACCCUUGGCAACCCUAUUUUAGACUUAGGCUUUUCGUUCAUUUUUAGGAUAGCUUUUAGGGUAGCUCAUUUAGGCACCCUAGGCCCACUUAGGCACUUAGGCCCAUUUAGGCACCCUAGAUCCACUUAGGCACUUAGGCCCAUUAGGUCCACCUUGGCCCACUUAGUCUCACCUUGGCCCAUUAGUCUUUGUUUUUAGUAUGACUUAUAUGGUUGUAUGACGCAUUUAUCUCAUUUACUUAUUUAUUUAUCUUUAUUUUUUAUUAUUACUAACCACUUUUAUUUGAUCAUUUAUUAUGGUUUUAUUUAUUCAUUUGUUUUGAUUUAUUUUCAUUAUUAUCAAUCAUUUUUUAGUUAUUUAUUUAUUUAGUAUUCUUACUUAUUUAUUUAUUAUCUUGUUAUUUAUUCAUUUAUCUAUUAUUAUCAUUUUAUAUUCUCCGAUUUAUUUAUUUAGUUAUUUAUUUAUUUUAUUAUUUAUUAUCUAUUUUAUUAUUUAUUUAUUUAUUUAAUUUAAUAAUUUGAAAUUUUUAUGGAAGAAGUCUACCAUUGGAUAAGUUUUUGAAAACGGUAAAACUCUUUAAAUGAUAUGCAUGGAUUGUGGGUGAUAUGCGUGGAUUGGUAUUGUUUGAAAUUAAAAAAAAAUGAGUUUUUCCGGUGCAUAAGAUAAAAUCUGGAGGGAGGAAGACUCCUCACGUAGGAGGACUAUUAUUUGCUAUAAAAAAGCUCUAACAGAUAGGUAUAAAGGGAGGACUUUCGGCACAUAGAAAAAAAAAAAAAAAAGAGAGAGAGGCGGAAAAAUUGGAUUUUCAGAGAAGACUUUCUAGUGAGAAGCUGUCGGUGGAGAAGAAGGAGAGGGCGGUGGAAGAAAUCUCAGACGACAAACCAGUGGGAUCUCCUUGCCAGAGGAGAGCGUUCCUCGGUAUGUUUGUUGAGAACUCCUUACUUAUUGAUAUUAUCACUUUGUUCUGUAUCCUCUCUGGUUAGUGUUCUUUUACCAUUGUUUUUUUGUUAGGAUAUGAAAGUGAUAUUGGUCUUCUCUUCUCUCAUAUUCUUUUAGUUUCAUCUAAUCAUAAAUCUGAACGUAGUCUCAAUCACACCACUGGUCUGCGAAUCUAUCGACUUCAGAAAGAAAUGGGAUCCCAUUUAAUGUCUAGUUUCCUUGUUUAUUUUGUUAUGGAUAUCCUGUAUUUUGUUUCGUUUACUACUCUACAUCUAGUAUCCCGAUCCAUGUCCCUGUUGUUGGCUCACAUCUUUGAAUUUACUCCGGACGUUUGGUUUCGUGUUCUGAUUUGCACUUGAGAGAGAGGGUUCAGUACAUGACAAGCCAUAUAUCGUGUUAAAUGGAAAUUUGGAUUUUUUUUUCACUGGAGAUUUUAGAUUUCAAAAAUUGGUUUGCAUAGGAACUCUUCCCGAAGUCGGACCUUCGACAAGCCAUUCAAUUCCUAGUCAUUCCUAAUCUCUAGCAUUCCUCUAUCUGAAUUUCAGAUAGAUUUGGUUACCCACUUCCCGAAAACACUAGAAACUGAGUCCACUCCUUUUAGGUCACUGCUUUCUCAUCAUUCGCGGGAUGGGUCUUCCACAUCUGCUUGUGUUCCUGUUCCUGACAUGAAGACCCUAACUAGUUCGUUGCGAUCUUCUCAUUUUGAAGCCCUAGAUGAUCAAAGUUUGGUUCCUACUUCGCCAUGGUCUUGGAACAGAGAAACUAAACCACCAUUCUCUUCAUACCUUCCUCGAGAAAUUGAACCCACUAUGGUGGGUGCUGGGCUUGUAAAUCUAGGCAACACAAUGCUUUCUUAAUGCAGUGCUCCAAUGCUUCACGCACACUGUCCCCCUUGUCCAGAGCCUUCGUUCUUGCAAUUAUGCCAUGCCUUGUCAUAGUUUGUGUUUCUUCCAUUGGUUUCUGUUUAUAUUAAAGAAUGAUCCGACUUUGUUAGUUCCAUUGUAAUAUCCAGAAGUUCCUUCUUCUUUCUUCCAUGUUCAAGCCUGUUGAAAGUGCAUGUAUGAUACAUGGCUUUGAAUGAUUGCCCAUCUACGUGUUUCCCUUCCCCUUGCCAUCCUUUUGCUAUAUCUUAUAGCCUUUGUUCAUGGUUUGUGGGUCGGUUUGCAAGAACGUCUUAUCGUUUGCAAUGAUUAGCACCCGAGCCAUCCUCAUUUGGCUGAUCAAUGUCACUGGGGAAGUCCUUGGAGGGCGGUUGCUACUCUUGAUAUUACAGGUGAUAUGGUGGUAUUUGUGGGUUUUGUUGAGGGUAUUUGGGUUCAGAUCGAAACUGCCCAUCUGAGGUCCUGGAUGAAAGAAUCAAUCCUGUGUCAGUUGUUUGUCUCAAUUAUCUAUAAGAUAGACAAGUGUCCUUAUUAGCAACAGGUGAAAGGAUGGGUAUGCAGAUAGAUCCAAGCCAAGUUGGAGAGUGGUGUCGGACACGCGCUUGAUGAAGGAAACAUUGAGGUUCUUGGAUAUAAACAUGGUCCUACCAUCAGAUCUGAUGUGACAACCAAUAUGUUGUGUCACAAGGAAGAAAUAUUUGAACCAAUACUUCUCUGCAUGGCCAUGCGAAUUCCGAGCAUAUAUACUCCUCGACUGGGACGACGUUCAUAAUGUUGACCACGUGUGAACUAUUUUUUGAAGGUGGGAAUUUUGCGAAUUCAUUUCAGCGCCCAAUUUUGUGUGUAUUUGAUCAGACUUUGGGCUAUCAGUUGGAAUCCAGCACGACUUUAGUUAUCGGCCGCUCGUUCACGAUGUGCUAGAUUGGAAGCUUAAUAGGUUGGAGUAUGGGGCAGACCUCUAGCACUGCUAGGUUCGCCUGACACAGGUGGACAGAUUGCUUAUAUGCUGGAUCAAGUGCGUGCCUUGGAAAAUGAGAUGCUUCUUAAGAUACAAAAGCAAGGACUUGAUGUCAUUCCUAAAAUUCUCAUAGUUACCCGACUUAUACCUGAUGCAAAGGGGACCACACGCAAUCAGAGACUUGAAAGAAUCAGUGGUACAGAACAUACACAUAUUUUUUGAGUGCCAUUUAGAAGAGAAAAUAGUAUUCUGCGGAAAUGGAUCUCAAGGUUUGAUGUAUGGCCAUAUCUGGAAACCUUUGCAGAGGAUGUAUCAAAUGAAAUUGCUGCCGAGCUACAGGGAGUUCCAGAUCUGAUCAUUGGCAACUAUAGUGAUGGGAAUCUUGUUGCAUCUUUACUAUCUUAUAAGCUGGGAAUUACGCAGUGCAAUAUUGCUCAUGCAUUGGAGAAAACAAAAUAUCCAGAGUCUGAUAUAUAUUGGAGAAAAUUUGAGGAUAAGUACCAUUUCUCAAGCCAAUUUACUGCUGAUCUAAUUGCAAUGAACAAUGCAGAUUCUAUAAUCACCAGUACAUACCAAGAGAUUGCCGGAAGCAAGAAUCAUGUUGGACAGUAUGAGAGCCACACAGCCUUCACUCUUCUAGGGCUGCACCGAGUUGUUC
rnacentral:lncRNA from 1 species